GAUGAACGCUAGCUACAGGCUUAACACAUGCAAGUCGAGGGGCAGCAUUUUAGUUUGCUUGCAAACUGAAGAUGGCGACCGGCGCACGGGUGAGUAACACGUAUCCAACCUGCCGAUAACUCCGGGAUAGCCUUUCGAAAGAAAGAUUAAUACCGGAUAGUAUACGAAUAUCGCAUGAUAUUUUUAUUAAAGAAUUUCGGUUAUCGAUGGGGAUGCGUUCCAUUAGUUUGUUGGCGGGGUAACGGCCCACCAAGACUACGAUGGAUAGGGGUUCUGAGAGGAAGGUCCCCCACAUUGGAACUGAGACACGGUCCAAACUCCUACGGGAGGCAGCAGUGAGGAAUAUUGGUCAAUGGGCGAGAGCCUGAACCAGCCAAGUAGCGUGAAGGAUGAAGGCUCUAUGGGUCGUAAACUUCUUUUAUAUGGGAAUAAAGUUUUCCACGUGUGGAAUUUUGUAUGUACCAUAUGAAUAAGGAUCGGCUAACUCCGUGCCAGCAGCCGCGGUAAUACGGAGGAUCCGAGCGUUAUCCGGAUUUAUUGGGUUUAAAGGGAGCGUAGGCGGAUUGUUAAGUCAGUUGUGAAAGUUUGCGGCUCAACCGUAAAAUUGCAGUUGAUACUGGCAGUCUUGAGUGCAGUAGAGGUGGGCGGAAUUCGUGGUGUAGCGGUGAAAUGCUUAGAUAUCACGAAGAACUCCGAUUGCGAAGGCAGCUCACUGGAGUGUAACUGACGCUGAUGCUCGAAAGUGUGGGUAUCAAACAGGAUUAGAUACCCUGGUAGUCCACACAGUAAACGAUGAAUACUCGCUGUUUGCGAUAUACAGUAAGCGGCCAAGCGAAAGCAUUAAGUAUUCCACCUGGGGAGUACGCCGGCAACGGUGAAACUCAAAGGAAUUGACGGGGGCCCGCACAAGCGGAGGAACAUGUGGUUUAAUUCGAUGAUACGCGAGGAACCUUACCCGGGCUUAAAUUGCAAAUGAAUUAUGGGGAAACCCAUACGCCGCAAGGCAUUUGUGAAGGUGCUGCAUGGUUGUCGUCAGCUCGUGCCGUGAGGUGUCGGCUUAAGUGCCAUAACGAGCGCAACCCUUAUCUUCAGUUACUAACAGGUCAUGCUGAGGACUCUGGAGAGACUGCCGUCGUAAGAUGUGAGGAAGGUGGGGAUGACGUCAAAUCAGCACGGCCCUUACGUCCGGGGCUACACACGUGUUACAAUGGGGGGUACAGAAGGCCGCUACCUGGUGACAGGAUGCCAAUCCCAAAAACCUCUCUCAGUUCGGAUCGAAGUCUGCAACCCGACUUCGUGAAGCUGGAUUCGCUAGUAAUCGCGCAUCAGCCAUGGCGCGGUGAAUACGUUCCCGGGCCU
rnacentral:rRNA from 1 species